rnacentral:rRNA from 1 species
AUUGAACGCUGGCGGCAGGCCUAACACAUGCAAGUCGAGCGGAUGAAGGGAGCUUGCACCUGGAUUCAGCGGCGGACGGGUGAGUAAUGCCUAGGAAUCUGCCUGGUAGUGGGGGAUAACGUCCGGAAACGGGCGCUAAUACCGCAUACGGCCUGAGGGAGAAAGUGGGGGAUCUUCGGACCUCACGCUAUCAGAUGAGCCUAGGUCGGAUUAGCUAGUUGGUUGGGUAAAGGCCUACCAAGGCGACGAUCCGUAACUGGUCUGAGAGGAUGAUCAGUCACAAUGGGACUGAGACACGGUCCAGACUCCUACGGGAGGCAGCAGUGGGGAAUAUUGGACAAUGGGCGAAAGCCUGAUCCAGCCAUGCCGCGUGUGUGAAGAAGGUCUUCGGAUUGUAAAGCACUUUAAGUUGGGAGGAAGGGCAGUAAGUUAAUACCUUGCUGUUUUGACGUUACCAACAGAAUAAGCACCGGCUAACUUCGUG